rnacentral:rRNA from 1 species
CCCCUAGAUGUUCUGGGCCGCACGCGCGCUACACUGAACAGUUCAACAAGUCUUAACCUUGGCCGAUAGGUCUGGGUAAUCUUUGAACGCUGUUCGUGAUUGGGAUAGACCUUUGCAAUUAUGGGUCUUCAACGAGGAAUUCCUAGUAAACGCAAGUCAUCAGCUCGCGUUGAUUACGUCCCUGCCCUUUGUACACACCGCCCGUCGCUACUACCGAUUGAACGUUUUAGUGAGGUAUUUGGAUCGCUCGCGUCGGGGAUUUCGGUCUCCUUCGCCGAGUGAGAAGACUCCCAAACUUGAGCGUUUGGAGGAAGUAAAAGUCGUAACA